ACCUGGCUGGCUCAAUUGGAAGAGCAUGCAGUUCUUGACAUUGUAGUUGUGGGUUCGAGUCCCACGUAGGGUG
rnacentral:tRNA from 1 species